rnacentral:misc_RNA from 1 species
GAUGAAGAACGUAGCGAAAUGCGAUAAGUAGUGUGAAUUGCAGAAUUCAGUGAAUCAUCGAAUCUUUGAACGCACAUUGCGCCCCUCGGUAUUCCGUGGGGCAUGCCUGUUCGAGCGUCAUUUAACCCCUCAAGCCUAGCUUGGUAUUGGGUGCUUGUCCCGCCUCUCGCGCGGCGACUCACCUCAAAGUCAUUGGCAGCCCGCAUCUCGCCGGCCGUGAGCGCAGCACAGACGCGCUCUUGGCAACGACGGAUCGGCUCUCCAAAAGCUUAUUGCAACCACUGACCUCGGAUCAGGUAGGGAUACCCGCUGAACUUAAGCAUAUCAAUAAGCGGAGGA